AUUGAACGCUGGCGGAAUGCUUUACACAUGCAAGUCGAACGGCAGCACGGGGGCAACCCUGGUGGCGAGUGGCGAACGGGUGAGUAAUACAUCGGAACGUGCCCGGUCGUGGGGGAUAACGUAGCGAAAGUUACGCUAAUACCGCAUACGAUCUGAGGAUGAAAGCGGGGGACCUUCGGGCCUCGCGCGAUCGGAGCGGCCGAUGUCAGAUUAGGUAGUUGGUGGGGUAAAGGCCUACCAAGCCGACGAUCUGUAGCUGGUCUGAGAGGACGACCAGCCACACUGGGACUGAGACACGGCCCAGACUCCUACGGGAGGCAGCAGUGGGGAAUUUUGGACAAUGGGCGCAAGCCUGAUCCGGCCAUUCCGCGUGCAGGACGAAGGCCUUCGGGUUGUAAACUGCUUUUGUAUGGAACGAAAAGGCUCUGGCUAAUACCUGGGGCUCAUGACGGUACCGUAAGAAUAAGCACCGGCUAACUACGUG
rnacentral:rRNA from 1 species